rnacentral:rRNA from 1 species
GCUGUGUAAUGUCUUUAACUGGCUUAUUUACUGGUUAGCGAUGCUACUGCUUUGGGUACUUACAGGACCCGUCUUGAAACACGGACCAAGGAGUCUAACAUGUGCGCGAGUCAUUGGGAUAUAUUUAUAUAAAUUAAACCUAAAGGCGCAAUGAAAGUAUAGAUUGUCUUUACGACAAUUGAGGGAAGAUGGGUUACGUUACGAUGUAAUCCCGCAUUCCCAGGACGUUCCUAUCUCAUUGAGAAGGGGCGUACC